UCAGUGUAUUAUGUUAUAAAUGACAAUGAUACACUUUGACUGUACUUGCGCGCUGUCAUAGUUUUGUUUUUUUCAAGUUGAUCGUGUUCCCGGAACAUCUUUGGUUCAGUGAUGUGUGGCUUCCGGGUCGCUGCUGCUGUUGUUGCCCGCCAAACUUUGACGUCCGCCCGCCGCUUUCCUGCUUGUUAUCCCAAGUGGCAGGCGGUACGGUCGACUUUAACGUUAUUUAUCGGUAACAAAAACAUGUCUUUAACCCCGAAGAGGCCGCGCUCCGAUCCAAUGAACGACUCCAUGGAGAAGAGGAUCAAGCGGGUUUCCAUCGAGGGCAACAUCGCGGCUGGAAAGUCGACUUUCGUCCACCUCCUGGAGCAGGAGUGCGCCGACUGGGAGGUAGUACCCGAGCCUAUCGCUAGGUGGUGCAAUGUCCAAACAAGCGGCAGCGACUUCGAGGAGCUGACGGCGUCGCAGCGUAGCGGCGGCAACGUGCUGAAGAUGAUGUACGACAAGCCUGAACGUUGGGCGUACACCUUCCAGAGCUACGCCUGCAUCAGCCGCGUGCGCGCCCAGAUCCGCUCGGCCAACGGGAAGCUGCGAGACGCCGAGAACCCCGUGCAGUUCUUCGAGCGCUCCAUCUACAGCGACAGGUACAUCUUCGCCACCAACCUCUAUGAGAACGAGUGCCUGAACGACACGGAGUGGGCCAUCUACCAGGACUGGCACGGCUGGCUGCACAGCCAGUUCCACCGGCACAUCGAGCUGGACGGGAUCGUCUACUUGAGAGCCCCCCCUGAGAAGUGCAUGGAGAGGCUGCGCCUGCGGGGCCGAGAGGAAGAGCAGGAAAUCCCUCUGGAGUAUCUGGAGAAGCUCCACGCCAAGCACGAGAGCUGGCUGCAGCACAAGACCAUGACCUGCUUUAGAGUGCCUCAUCGUUUGGUCGGGAGUGCGCGUAUGUCACGGAGGGAAGGUGGAAGAGUCGUAUGUAAGGGAUGGACUUUGAGUACCUGGCCGACGUGCCGGUGCUGACGCUGGACGCCACGGAAGAGUUCAAACACGACAAGAGCAAGGGCGCCGACAUGCUGGAGAAGGUGAAAGAGUUCCUGAGCGCCUUGUGAGGAACCACAGAAGACCCAAUGGGACAAAGGCACUAUUGUUUAAAUUUUUUUAAUCAUUUUUUUUAACAAUGUAAUGCCCCUGCACUGCCAUUUUUUUCACCACCUUUUGUGUAUUUAUAAUAGUGUAUGUGUGUGUGUGUGUUUGUUUGUGUGUGUGUGUCUGUGUGUGCGCGGCUCACAGACUGAAAUAAACUUCUAUUAACAAAAACAUUA